rnacentral:rRNA from 1 species
UACGAAGGGGGCUAGCGUUGUUCGGAUUUACUGGGCGUAAAGCGCACGUAGGCGGAUUGUUAAGUUAGAGGUGAAAUCCCGGAGCUCAACUCCGGAACUGCCUUUAAUACUGGCAAUCUAGAGUCCGGAAGAGGUAAGUGGAACUCCUAGUGUAGAGGUGGAAUUCGUAGAUAUUAGGAAGAACACCAGUGGCGAAGGCGGCUCUCUGGUCUGUUACUGACACUGAGGUGCGAAAGCGUGGGGAUCAAACAGG